rnacentral:rRNA from 1 species
UACAGAGGUCUCAAGCGUUGUUCGGAUUCAUUGGGCGUAAAGGGUGCGUAGGCGGCGCGGUAAGUCGGGUGUGAAAUCUCGGAGCUUAACUCCGAAACUGCAUUCGAUACUGCCGUGCUUGAGGACUGGAGAGGAGACUGGAAUUUACGGUGUAGCGGUGAAAUGCGUAGAUAUCGUAAGGAAGACCUGCGGCGAAGGCGGGUUGCUGGGCUGACACUGACGCUGAUGCGCGAAAGCCAGGGGAGCGAACGGG